rnacentral:rRNA from 1 species
AGCGAACGCUGGCGGCAGGCCUAACACAUGCAAGUCGAACGGACCCUUCGGGGUUAGUGGCGGACGGGUGAGUAACACGUGGGAACGUGCCUUUAGGUUCGGAAUAGCUCCUGGAAACGGGUGGUAAUGCCGAAUGUGCCCUUCGGGGGAAAGAUUUAUCGCCUUUAGAGCGGCCCGCGUCUGAUUAGCUAGUUGGUGAGGUAAUGGCUCACCAAGGCGACGAUCAGUAGCUGGUCUGAGAGGAUGACCAGCCACACUGGGACUGAGACACGGCCCAGACUCCUGCGGGAGGCAGCAGUGGGGAAUCUUGCGCAAUGGGCGAGAGCCUGACGCAGCCACGCCGCGUGAAUGAUGAAGGUCUUAGGAUUGUAAAAUUCUUUCACCGGGGACGAUAAUGACGGUACCCGGAGAAGAAGCCCCGGCUAACUUCGUGCCAGCAGCCGCGGUAA